rnacentral:lncRNA from 1 species
CCUCCAGAACUCAGUGCUCAUGCUUGCUGUGCGCAGUUUUAAGCGUUCCUCCAUCCACAGCUAGGACUCCGAUGGGUGCAUCUGCGAUCAGUCCUUGGUGCUGCGGAGAGAGUGAAGGUUUGGAUACACAGGUCCCACCAGCAGUGACAUGACAUGAUUUGUGGCUCUGCACCUCGUUGCCCUCAUCGAAGAUAGUCAGGAGACCCUAGAAAGAUGCCAUUCACACCCUGGAGUGCUGUGGGCCAUGCAAGAGCAGCUGGACACAGGAGCAGCUUCCUGCCUAGACCCGGGCCGCUUCCCCAGAAAGAGGAACCAGCAGUGGUGGCUGGAGCGUCUGGCGGCGAUAAAAGGUUCUGCCUUCAGGGUUUUUUUGGCCUUAUUUUCUGUUUAAAGAAGGCAUAUUUUCUUCCUUUUAUUUUAUACAUAGGCAGCCUUACAGCAGGAGGCAAACGAGUAGACAGCAGACAAAUCUAUAUGAUGUAAUUCUGAUUGGAAAGAGCAGGGCAUAGCUCUUUUCCAAGGAGACUUGCUGCCACCGAUCAGCCGUGAGAGCGUGGACAAGCCAUUUCAUCUCUCUGGACCUCGGCCUCCUUAUUUGCUCAGGUAAAGGCAGAGUUUGAAGACCGGAAGAAUCAAGUCAGUCAGGUUUGGAUGUAGAGUAUGGUCAGCUCAAAUGGUCCUUAUACUGGGUAUGAAUAUUUGUCAGUAAAGUGGCACUGUGGUUGGGAGAAAAUGUGAAACUAAUAUGGGAGAGCAGAGAGGAGCCUGACGCACAGAUCAGGCGAGUACUCCUGUUCAACUCGUGAUGCUUCGCUUCAAAUACUA